AGGACGAACGCUGGCGGCGUGCCUAAUACAUGCAAGUCGAACGGUCUUUCUAUGGAAGCUUGCUUCCACUGGGAAGAUAGUGGCGAACGGGUGAGUAACACGUGGGUAACCUGCCCAUAAGAGGGGGAUAACAUCCGGAAACGGGUGCUAAUACCGCAUAGUUUUCUUGAUCGCAUGAUUGAGAAAGGAAAGACGGCCUUUGUGCUGUCGCUUAUGGAUGGACCCGCGGCGUAUUAGUUAGUUGGUGAGGUAACGGCUCACCAAGACGAUGAUACGUAGCCGACCUGAGAGGGUGAUCGGCCACAUUGGGACUGAGACACGGCCCAAACUCCUACGGGAGGCAGCAGUAGGGAAUCUUCCGCAAUGGACGAAAGUCUGACGGAGCAACGCCGCGUGAGUGAAGAAAAGGUUUUCGGAUCGUAAAACUCUGUUGUCAGAGAAGAACAAGUUGGAGAGUAACUGCUCCAGCCUUGACGGUAUCUGACCAGAAAGCCACGGCUAACUACGUGCCAGCCGCUGC
rnacentral:rRNA from 1 species